GUUAGAUUCAGAGAUGCCUAAGGUUAAGAGGCUUCUGGGUGUGUCAAUGAGGAUAUUUCUAGAAAUGAUUGGCAUGUAGGAUAACAAACCAAAGCAGAGAGCCACCCUAAGUUUGGGCAACACUGUCCAAUAGGUUGAGGGUUUGGAUUGAACAAAAAUUGGAAAAACAAGAAAGUAGUAGCAGAUGAAAGCUUGAUUCUUAUUGAAUGGAUUAUUGAUAGCUGCUGCAAUUGCCUGAGGACAUCAGACUACAGCUCUUUCACUCUUCCAAAGUAGAUUUUGCCAGUGAUUCUCCAAGGAGUUUCCAGAACCCUUUGGUCUUGAACUGGAGUAGCAUCACUGAUCCCUCUUGUUCUGAGCCUUGAGCAUCUUUGACUGUGUAGCUGUAGGUUCCUCCAGCUCUCCAGCCUGCAGACAGCCAUUGUGGGACUAUCCAGCUUCUGGUUAUAUAAGCCAAUCUAGCAAAUCCCUUUUCAUAAUCAUAUAUAUGAUCUAUAUGGAUCCUGUUCAUUUUGUUUCUCUAGAGAACCUUGACUAUUACAGUACCAAAGGCCCAAUUAGAUCUAAAUGCCAGUUGCUGGAAUUUCCCAUUUAGAAAUAUGCAAUAGUCCCCAACCCUAGAGUCUGGACAAAACUACAGUUGACAGUACCUCUCUCUUCUGUCCUAUCUUAUAUGAUGAGAAGGGAAGAUAAAAGCUAAUUCAAUGAGAUUCAGUUUUAGACCACUACACCUGACAGCCUGAGGAACAAUGCAAAAAGAGGGAGGUUUACAAUUCACAUCCCUUGUUCUUGCUAAGGGGUACAUAGAUCAAGAAGAAAUAU
rnacentral:lncRNA from 1 species